rnacentral:lncRNA from 1 species
UAAUAAAAUUUUUUUUUUUUUUUUUUUAAUUUUAAAAAAUUAAAACAUUUAUUACAUCUUUUUGUUUUAUUCAUUUUUUAUCUUUCUCUAAUCUGUUUUAUUUUAUUCUCUUUGAAAAGUUCAGGGUGUAUUAUUUUAAAAUUUAUAGUUCAUAAUUUCGAACUAUACGGCUUAAUGCAAAUUUCAUAGAGAAAAAAAAAAAAAAAAAAUUAUAUAAUUUUUAUGUAAUCUUUUUUAAUAAUCAAAAUGCCAUUAGUUCAUGGAACUCAUGUAAUACCUAUGAAAAACUACACCAUCGUUAGUGAUGGAUAUGGAGAAAGAGGAAUUAAAAAAACAUACGAAGAUGAGUUUUUUAUUAGUGAUAACUUGAAAAGUUUUAAUAAAAACCUUCACCCUAAUUUUAAUUUUUCUUGUUUUUGUCUUAUUGAUGGACAUAACGGAAAAAACACUGCAACUUUUUUAAAAAAAAAUUUGGCUCAAGAGCUAUCAAAUAGUUUUCUGUCUAUUCAAAAAGAAUAUGAUGAAACUCUCCCCAUACCUGAUCAUUUUAUAAGAAUAGUAAAUUAAUUUAUUCAUGUUUUUUAUGAUAAAAAAAGAAAAAAGAUACAUCGUUUUAUUUACAUGUAUAUAUUCACCAUAUUUUUACACUUUUCUAUUAUAAAAUACUAGGGUGUUAAUAAUGCUUGUAAAAAAAUUGAUAAAAAAAUAUUCUUAGAAUACCCCGGAUGCAUAGGU